GCCAGCGGCGAUAGCACGUUCAAUGUACCAGUUCCCAAUAGAUCACUGAAGUUAGGUAACGUUGCACGUGGUUGGUACCCGGAUGGGUGACCAGCUGGGCAACCGAGUAUUGCUGGUU
rfam:Asian citrus Psyllid, Diaphorina citri - Florida Strain, whole genome shotgun sequence.